GGAGUCGGCCGGAUAAUCGCUGCCGACGGAACUUGGCCGGGGCCUGUUCAGCACUGCUGUAUCGGGCGCAACACCGGUAGAUUCCGCCGGUGGAGGAAAGUCCGGGCUCCGCAGGGCAGGGUGCCAGAUAACGUCUGGGCGGCGCAAGCCGACGGCGAGUGCCACAGAAAAUAUACCGCCUUCACAGGUAAGGGUGAAAUGGUGCGGUAAGAGCGCACCGCGCUGGUGGUAACACCAGUGGCAGGGUAAACCCCACCCGGAGCAAGACCAAAUAGGAAUCCGUAUGGUGUGGCCCACACCGGAUUCGGGUAGGUUGCUAGAGGUGCAUGGUGACAUGCAUCCCAGAGGAAUGAUUAUCCAAGACAGAACCCGGCUUACAGGCCGACUCCCCCU
rnacentral:RNase_P_RNA from 2 species